UUUUAGCCCUGAUUGCAACGAAAAUCCUUUUUAUGCGCCUUUUCGGUAAAUAAAAAGAUUGCAGCGGAAAGCAGGAAAUAGC
rfam:Flavobacterium sp. AED Contig01, whole genome shotgun sequence.